UGUCCGGAAUUACUGGGUGUAAAGGGAGCGCAGGCGGGAAGACAAGUUGGAAGUGAAAUCUAUGGGCUCAACCCAUAAACUGCUUUCAAAACUGUUUUUCUUGAGUAGUGCAGAGGUAGGCGGAAUUCCCGGUGUAGCGGUGGAAUGCGUAGAUAUCGGGAGGAACACCAGUGGCGAAGGCGGCCUACUGGGCACCAACUGACGCUGAGGCUCGAAAGUGUGGGUAGCAAACAGGAUUAGAUACCCUGGUAGUCCACACCGUAAACGAUGAUUACUAGGUGUUGGAGGAUUGACCCCUUCAGUGCCGCAGUUAACACAAUAAGUAAUCCACCUGGGGAGUACGACCGCAAGGUUGAAACUCAAAGGAAUUGACGGGGGCCCGCACAAGCAGUGGAGUAUGUGGUUUAAUUCGACGCAACGCGAAGAACCUUACCAAGUCUUGACAUCCCUUGACAGACAUAGAAAUAUGUUUUCUCUUCGGAGCAAGGAGACAGGUGGUGCAUGGUUGUCGUCAGCUCGUGUCGUGAGAUGUUGGGUUAAGUCCCGCAACGAGCGCAACCCUUAUGGUCAGUUACUACGCAAGAGGACUCUGGCCAGACUGCCGUUGACAAAACGGAGGAAGGUGGGGAUGACGUCAAAUCAUCAUGCCCUUUAUGACUUGGGCUACACACGUACUACAAUGGCGUUAAACAAAGAGAAGCAAGACCGCGAGGUGGAGCAAAACUCAGAAACAACGUCCUAGUUCGGACUGCAGGCUGCAACUCGCCUGCACGAAGUCGGAAUUGCUAGUAAUCGUGGAUCAGCAUGCCACGGUGAAUACGUUCCCGGGCCUUGUACACACCGCCCGUCACACCAUGAGAGCCGGGGGGACCCGAAGUCGGUAGUCUAACCGCAAGGAGGACGCCGCCGAAGUAAAACUGGUGAUUGGGGUGAAGUCGUA
rnacentral:rRNA from 1 species